rnacentral:snRNA from 8 species
AUACUUACCUGGCAAGGGAGACACCGUGAUCAAGAAGGCGGUUCACCCAGGGCGAGGCUCAGCCAUUGCACUCCGGCUGUGCUGACCCCUGCGAAUUUCCCAAAUGUGGAAAUCUCGAUUGCAUAAUUUCUGGUAGU